CGAUAAGUUUAACAUUGUUGCUGGCGCCAUCAGCAGGCUCUCCUCGGCCACGGAUCACUCGUGUAGACGAUUCUUGAAUUGGAUGGAAAUAAAAUCUGAUGGAAUUAAUAUGCAAAGCAAAACCUUCGUCAGAAAACAGUAACAGAAACGUGCAUCAUUGGAUCCCGUGCCCAGCGCAAAUUUCGAGACUAAGAGAGUGGCACGUACGCAAACAACAUGCGAACAAAGAAACGAUAUUCAUUUUGAUGGAGUAGUAGAAAUCAAAUAUUACGUAGAACAAACAGAAUCACUAAAAACUGCAGCAAUCAGUCCAUAAUGACAUUGUAUAUAAAACUUAUAAACCUUGACGUCAAACCAAUUGAAGUUGCGCGUUUAUAUGUUAUUUGUAGCCACGAUAAAUUAAAAUAAAUGGAACUUGGCAA